AUUCCAGCUCCAAUAGCGUAUAUUAAAGUUGUUGUGGUUAAAAAGCUCGUAGUUGGAUCUCGGCGGACUGAGGGCGGUUUGCUUGCUAGUAUUACUGCCCUAUAGUCCGUAGUUUUGCCAGAGGUUUCGAGGUGCUCUUAAUCGAGUGUCCCGGGAUACUGGCAGGUUUACUUUGAAAAAAUUAGAGUGUUUAAAGCAGGCAGUUGCUAUGAAUACAUUAGCAUGGAAUAAUAAUCUAGGACUUCGGUUCUAUUUUGUUGGUUUCUAGUACUGAAGUAAUGAUUGAUAGGGAUAGUUGGGGGUGCUAGUAUUGAGCGGCCAGAGGUGAAAUUCUUGGAUUCGCUCAAGACUAACUUAUGCGAAAGCAUUCACCAAGGAUGUCUUCAUCG
rnacentral:rRNA from 1 species